CUUUUUUAUGAAAUUUGGCAGGAAAGUUUUUGUUUACAUGGAGUUCCAUAAAGAGCCCUUGAUGUAGUAAGAACUCAUAAGGCAAGCAGGCAGCUGAGGCCUCCUGAGACAGGAAUGCACAUAGCGCUUGGGCCCUGCAGGCGGAGCGGGCUCGGGGACCUGGCGCAGCGCUCUGUCACUCUGGGAAGGAGGCGCUAGCCCGCCAGGCCGCGGCUGAUGCUGGGGUCCUGCACUAGCGCGAAGGUCAGCUCCAUGCCGGCGAGGCCAGGACGGACUCCAGAGCCUCAGUGUGCUGAGCGCAGGCGCCCAGUACUCGGCGGAGCUGGCGCCCCGCUAGACGCAAGGACUCCACAAGGACCCCAGAGCCAGAUCCCUGCGAGGCCCCGGCAUUCCCUGACCUGGCGGGGAAUCCUGGCCCCCGAUGGUCUACGGCAGCCCCCAGCCGGCUCCUGGGAUGGCUUGCAGCGCCCGCAGGCUUCUCCAGCCUCCAGAACUGCAGGAGCUGCGGUCCAAGCCAGCUCCUGGGCUCCGGGAGAAACUGAGUUUGUCAAGGACGAAACCACAAGAAACUCUGAAAUAAAAGAGGCAAAGAACAUUCAGGGAGACUGAACAGAAGAUGCCAAAAACGUGGUAAGAAAACCCUGAGAAGAGUAGCAGAACCCAUAGAGAAGAAGUGUUUGGAAGAGGUGGUGGUGGUGAACAACUUUUAAUGGGAAUGAUCCAAGAAAAGAGAGAGGAAGAAAGAGGCACACAUACUGAGGAAAGGCCAUGUGUAGACACACAUAAAGGAGGUGUCCAUCUGCAAACCAAGAAGAGAGCCUUCACCAAAACCCUUCCAUGCUGGCACCUUGACCUUGAACUUAUGGCCUCCAGAAUUAAGAAGAUGAAUUGAAAUCGUAUUGAAGGGACUUGGAUGACUCCAUCAAAUGUCUCCUCAUCCCAGGGAUAAUGUUUAAAACGUCAUCUAAUCUGGACAAAAAUAUUUGAAAACAAACAAACAAAAAAGGCGGGGGGCACCAGUGAGCAUACGGAGACUGUAUUACGUAAGAAGAAAGGAAGAUGUGAAUAUAGUAGAGACUGGAGGAGUUCACAUUUCAAGUUUCAAGGAGACACAGAAGAUAGCCAAUUGUAGAAAAGAAGAAAAAACUUUAAAGGUAAAGAAUAAAAGAAACAUAUCUACCUAAAAGAAACAUAUCUACCUAUCAAUUAUCUAGAUAUAGGUAGAGGUAUACAGAGAUGGAGACAUAAAUACAUAUAUAUAUGUAGAUAUAUAGAUCCAUGUAAAGAGAGAUAUAGACACAGAAAAAAGAAAAAAUGAAGGAGUGAAGAAAGGCACCAUGGUGAAUUGGUUUGUAUUCUAUUAAUGACAAAUGUGAGGGAAGCUGAGACAGUGGCUAACUUUAUUUGAAAUUCUAUUUAAUUGAAUUGGACUUCUUUACUGGAUUUUUUUUAAAAGGAGCAUUCAUCAGUGUUAUACUUCCUGAAUUUUAUUGUGUUUGGUAAUAUCUUCGGCUAGGGAUAAAAGCUGGGUGCCAAACUUAGCUUCGAUAUCUGGCUGGCUCUUCUGAUACGAGAUAUUACUGAGGAGAACUCUAAGUGGUGAUUCUGUCUUACAUGUAGGCUUCCUUUUUGCUCUAGUUACCUACAGAAUUAUUUCUACUUCUGUAAUUUUAAUAUUAAAUAACUUGGCUAUUACUCAGAUUAAAAAAAAUUUCUUGAUCAGUAUGUGUGCUUAUUCCACCUAUGGAUUCAAAACUUUUUCCACACAGUAGGAUGACUAUAGUUAAAUUUUAUUGUAUAUUUCAAAAUAGCUACAGGAGUGGAUAUGGAAUGUUCCCAACAUAAACAAAUAAUAGAUAUUGAGGUGAUGGCCCAAUGACCCUGAAUUGGUCAUUACAUAUUCUACACUUGUAACAAAAUAUCGUAUGUACCUUAUACAAAAAUUAUGUGUUCAUAAAAAUGGAAACUAAAACAUUAACUAAAAAGAAAAACUAUUUUAAAAACUGUAUUCAUAUCGGGAAAAUGAUCCUAACCUUGAAGUUUCUGUGACCCAUUUCGUGUGCUUUCUGUUUAUCUCUUCACUAAUUUUUCCAUCAGGAUGGUAAUAGCAUAUUUUAAAAAUGGUAAACCACGGUUAUAUAGUUCUUGAAAAUAUAAACAUUAUGAAUAAAAUAAGUUCUGUUGAAGACCAACC
rnacentral:lncRNA from 10 species